AGUCACAGGCCUGCAGCGCGCACUGGACCCCAGGGAGUCUGCAUAACCGGAUCUGCUCAGCCGAGCGCCACACUUAACACUGAUCAACAACCGCACACUUGCACGACAGCUUCCGAGUCCUACCCCCAGGCGCUCCCAGCACCUAUGGCUCAGAUUCCCAACCGGACGCUGAGGCAGAGGAACUUCACCAAAGGCUGGGAAGGAGGAGGAACAGGAGCGGAGGCAGAAACCAGGAUAAUACAGUUGGGUACGCUCUCCACUCCCGAUCACACAGCCUCCCAGGGUGAAGCCGCACUUGCCUUGAACGUUUAGCAAACAAAAACACAAAGACCAAGCAAUGCAAAUAAAAAAAAUCCAAAACAACAAAACACCGGACCAGGAAUAUUAAACGAUAUCCUUCCCUACGCUGUCUCCACUUAAAAUCUGGGCUCUCGCACAAGGAGCGCGAGACAGAAGCACAUCAGUGCCGUGACCGGCUGGGACACUAAGGAGAGCCGCCCUGAAUGAGUUUGGUUUUUCUUUUACUCCCGUACCACAAGACACGCCGGGAUCAGCGCAGCACAGCCGUGCUGCUGACUUUAACCCUUUUACUUGAUGCUGCUUUGACACGGUUGAUAAGUUUCUAGAACAGGGACAGAUCCCGUUGUGGCUGUGUGCGGCUGGGACACCGCUAAGGACACCCCACGCUGCCCAGGGACAGCCCGCGCGCGGGGAGCGCAGCGUCUCGCUCGCCCGCCCGGGCUCGGGGCGGCCCGGCCCCCGCAACCAUUCGCACGGUUUCCACCGAGGCGGGUCCUGAGGAAAUCCUGGCAGUCGGACUACGACCACCGAGUCGGGGAGGGGGGCUGUCACCCGCGCAGACCCCUCAAGGCGUUUGAAGGGAAUGUCAAAUGCGGGUGCGGACCCUUUGACUCGUCAGUGGGGAUCCACGCGCUUUUUGAUCAGCGCUGUCUUCCGCGGACCCCUUAGAGAUGGUCCGUGCACCCCGGGGGUGCCUGGACCACAGGCUGAAAACCACCGCUCUACAUUAGUGUCAGCAACAAAGCAACUGCCUUCUUCAGAUGGCAAGUGAAAUAUGUGUUCAUGGGUAGAGCUCAAAGUACUUUACCCCGUUUUACAGAUCAGGAAACUGAGGCAGAUCUAUCAAGCAGUUUGCCUAGAGUCACCCAGCAGGUCCAAGACAGAGCCAUGAAUAUAACCCAGGUCUCCAGGAUCCCAGUCCAACACUUUGCCCAUUAGACAACACAGCUCUUCUUUCUUCUGAGACUCGUCAUGUGUCACAUAGUUAAUGUGUGCAGCGUGUGCUGUGUCCGCAGAAGGAAGGUGCUAUGGAAAGGUUAAAAUAAAGGAUUAUUAAUUGUUAUUGUUAGGAAUCACGUUAAGGUGUCUAUAGCAUGGGGGCAGCGACCGUGGUGGCAAGGAGCUGGCUCACUGGAGGUCGUGCUCUGCCACAAUACUAUUUCAUGGUCUUUGGUGUGUUUCCUAUAAAUGACUGGAGAUUAUGCAGUUUGCUGCAUGUCAUCAGCAUGCAGUGCUGUAGCUGAACAGAAACGCGGACCACGUCUGAACACAGUGAACAGUUCAGUUGCCAGCCUUUUCCCAUAGCUCCUCAUGCCCUGGCACCAUGCAAAUAUGCUCUUUUUUUUGUCUUGCAUCAACACAAAACCUCAUUCUCUUUCCCUUCCCACAAUUGCUGCCUCGCACCCGAGUGAUACAUGGGGGCCAGUCGCAGCAGAUUUGAUAUUUGAGCUUGGAGGGGGCAACCUUCAUCCACACCAGGGCAACCCCAAAGACAGCCUGCCUCUCCUACCGCCACGGCAUUAUGCCCUGAAUCAGCAGGUGCAGCCUGCAGGCUGGAUCCCCACUGCAAAGGGUCCAGCAGAGGUAGAGCUACAUUCAGGGAAAUGUGGGAAACAACACAGGGAAAAAUCAAUAUGAGAACUGUCAAUUUAAAGUGUUGUGAGAAGUUGAUAGUCGGCGAAUAAAGUUUAAGCACAGCAUCGCUCUGUGACUAGCUCCAGGAACAUCCUCUCUCAAACACCGUCCAUUUGGAGCUUUCUUGUGCCCUCUUCUGGGUAGCCUCAGUCUCUGCAGCAAUCUUUAUUUAGUAGCAGUUUGCAAGAGAUGUAUUAGUGGCUCCUAUGCAAUUCCAACUUCAAUCUUCUGUAUGUCUCACUUCAAAGUCUAGGAUUUAAAGAGACAGAUCUGGCACCAGGUGACACUUGGGGCCACAGGUAUGUUCCUAGGAAGGGAGAGGCUGUCUCCAAGGGGUUUAAGCCAGGAGAGGGCUGCUGUAAGUCCCAUACAGGGGCUACAGAGGUGUCUGGUUGAAAUAAUAAAUCAUGACAACACGCAGCUGCCGUUCCAUAACAGCGUGCCCUGUUCAGUGGCUCUUCUACCUCCCUGCAGGCUCUACAACUGUAGAGGACCUUGUGCCUGUUUUCUGCUGAUAGGCCCCCAGCAGAUAUCCUACCACUUUGUGAGUGAAUCUGGACCAUAAUAACAGCCUGAGCAGAGGGCUUGGUUGACAUCAGCGUAUCUAUUCUCCAUGGUUUUGCCAUUAAAGACAUGAUACUGUUGGGUUUCUUAACCACUGCUGCACUAACUUGAUUCCAAUCUGGGAAUUAACCUGGACAACGUAUUUGAUUCCUGUACUGUAAUUUUUGUAAGACCUUUAAGAUUACCAUGGAAAUCUAGGCAAAUAUCUAUCCACAUAUGUGAAACUGCUGUAGCUAAAUUGGAAUAAAUUGCAGGGGUACUGUUA